ACACAUCAUUACAAACUAUGAUUGAAGGACCACAGUUGAGAAGAGAAAGAGAGCUUAUGUGGAUCUGCAGGGGAAGAUCUCCCUGAGGAAGUGGCAUUUAAGCUGAUAUGAAGAAUGAUAUAUCAGAAGCAACAUGAGCUUUGAGUACAAAAUUGUCAUGAACAUUGGCUUGACGAAAGCAGUCCACAAGAAAUUCCUGAUACUGCCCACCAGAAGUUAUCCUGCUUUUAGUGAGCACCGUGCUUGACAAUACGAGAACCCUAACUACCUAAGUUCACCAGCCGUUCAUUGAAGAAGAUAAAGAUGAAGGCAAACACCAGCCUGGUACCACCCACCAUGAGGAAGGAAAGGCAAGUUAGGUUUCAGUAUGGCUCAGCCUGGCGACUGAAGCGACACAUGGACACUCGCCUCAAGUAGUCCACAAAGGAUAUACCUAAGAUUGCAAUGGGCCAUUCCAAACCACUCAACAAGUCAGAUAUCAAAGCUUUCAGAAAACAUUGAAAUUUUCAGCAAAAAGUGAAAGAGGAGUCAAUGUUUUGGUCAUCUACAG
rnacentral:lncRNA from 1 species